rnacentral:rRNA from 1 species
AAUGAACGCUGGCGGCGUGCUUAACACAUGCAAGUCGGAUGUGCCGCAAGGUGCAUGGCAGACGGGUGAGUAACGCGUGGGGAACCUACCUUCUUGUGGGGAAUAACGUUCCGAAAGGAGUGGUAAUACCGCAUGAGACCAUCGACUGGGAUGUUGGUGGUGAAAGCCGGGGAUCGAAAGACCUGGCGCAAGGAGAGGGUCCUGCGUCUGAUUAGCUAGUUGGUGGGGUAAUGGCCUACCAAGGCGACGAUCAGUAGCCGGCCUGAGAGGGUGAUCGGCCACACUGGAACUGAGACACGGUCCAGACUCCUACGGGAGGCAGCAGUGGGGAAUUUUGCGCAAUGGACGAAAGUCUGACGCAGCAACGCCGCGUGGGUGAUGAAGGUCUUCGGAUCGUAAAACCCUGUCGUCAGGGACGAAGGGUUGGGGCCUAAUACGCCUUGACCUUGACGGUACCUGGAGAGGAAGCCCCGGCUAACUCUGUG